CGGGGGUAUCAUUGGCAUUUUCAUGUAUAUAAAACUGCGUUACGGACCAUGAAUUAAAGCAUAGCAAACCCUAUAGAUCAGAAAUAGAAGUUUCUAUUGACAGGACUUCCUUGUUACAUAGGAUCCUAAAUUAUUUUUUUCCUAGUGGAUUGCUUUCAUGGAGUUAUGUUACAAAAUUAAUUUUGCGGUCCGAUGCAUAAAAUGGGUUCCGGUUUCAUGAUAGUUUCUCGAUGAAAUGA
rnacentral:lncRNA from 1 species